rnacentral:rRNA from 1 species
AGUGAACGCUGGCGGUAGGCCUAACACAUGCAAGUCGAACGGCAGCACAGUAAGAGCUUGCUCUUACGGGUGGCGAGUGGCGGACGGGUGAGGAAUACAUCGGAAUCUACUUUUUCGUGGGGGACAACGUAGGGAAACUUACGCUAAUACCGCAAACGACCUACGGGUGAAAGCAGGGGAUCUUCGGACCUUGCGCGAUUGAAUGAGCCGAUGUCGGAUUAGCUAGUUGGCGGGGUAAAGGCCCACCAAGGCGACGAUCCGUAGCUGGUCUGAGAGGAUGAUCAGCCACACUGGAACUGAGACACGGUCCAGACUCCUACGGGAGGCAGCAGUGGGGAAUAUUGGACAAUGGGCGCAAGCCUGAUCCAGCCAUACCGCGUGGGUGAAGAAGGCCUUCGGGUUGUAAAGCCCUUUUGUUGGGAAAGAAAAGCAGCAGGUUAAUACCCCGCUGUUCUGACGGUACCCAAAGAAUAAGCACCGGCUAACUUCGUG